GUCUCCCAUUAUUAUACAUUAAUUAGAACUAGACACUAGAAUCCAGCAGAUUAAGAUCAAAAGGUCAGCUCUAUUUCCAGCAAACAUAUAUGGAAAGUACAACUUGGACCUUCACUGCAAUCAGCCUUCCUCAUAACCCCCACCUAGUUGAACUUAUCUGACAUAGUCAGAUACAGAGAAGCAGGAUGCUUGAAUCUACACCAAUGUGCAAGGUUUUGAGGGUAAGAGUCACUGCUAUUACCAUAUAAAGGCUUCACCACUAGUAGACAGGUUUUCCUGAAAGAGAAAGGAAAAACACCUAGAUUCUCUUCCCUCAAACUCACCCAUCUAAGAAGACAGCCCUUCUCCUCUGGUGGCCAACUUGCCACCCACUCCCACUAUUUUGUCUCUUUCAAACACAUCCCCAAUGUUAGUUAUAGAAGACCCCUCUUCCACGUUGCCCAAAUGUUGGAAGGUGACCCUAUUCUCAACUCAAGCCAAUCGUAGUACCUCUAAUCCCCUUGCAAGUGAUUGGUUCUAGAAUUCAGCUUUCAGCACAGCAUUAUUAUAGAAUGCUAUAGAAUGCACAGCAUUAUUCUAGAUCCUGCAAUUGGACCAGGGAUGGGCACAUGAUACAAACUAGCCUAAUUAGACUGAAUAAGACGUUUGCUUGAACAGUUGGAAAAAAGAUUUUCUAAUGAGGAAGCAUUUUGUUCAAGGACUGAGAGUAGCCAUCUUCUAACUGCAGAAGAGUCAGUCUGAAGAAAAAAGCCUUCCCCUAGAGGCUGAGAAGAGGCAAAGAAGAGCAGAGAAAUAGAUUUCCAGCUCUAAUUAUAACAGAUGAUAAAACUAAAGCACAGAGAAUUUCUAUAUCUUGCCAAGAUCAGACAGCUCUAAGUGAUGGAGGAAAAAUUCAACCUCAGGUUUUCAUGCCACGUGAGUCUGUAUUUUUCCACUGGCUACUGAAUGAAAUUCAAAGUCUUCCAGAAUGAACAUACUUGUCCAGUCUAAUCAUUGAGUAUGUCUAUACAUACCCAACCUGAAAAAGCCCCACAAGCUUCCCUGCCUUUAUUUAAUGAUGCCAGGCAUUUGUAUGCCUGGGUUGCCUUUAUUGAUGAUGUUCCAUUACUUUGGAAUAAAGUUCUCUACUCAAGGAAAAUCUUUCAAUUUCUGAGUCCUGUGCUAGCCCCAUUAUGAGGGCUUCUCAUUGCUUGUUCUCUUCACUCAUGUUGUUUUCUUUGAAAGCAAGAGCCUGAACCAGGGAGGUGGAAGUAGAUGUGGGGAAGAAGCAAAGUAGGUAAUAAAAGUCUAAGCAAAGGAUUGUGGGGAAGAUGGACACAGAGAAGGGAGAAGUUCAAGAUAAAAUGAUAGUCUUGGCCAGGCCCAGUUAGCUGGAGAGAAUUAUCAUGUCUCCCUUGAC